AUACGUAGGGUGCGAGCGUUGUCCGGAAUUACUGGGCGUAAAGAGCUCGUAGGUGGUUUGUCGCGUCGUCUGUGAAAUUCCGGGGCUUAACUCCGGGCGUGCAGGCGAUACGGGCAUAACUGGAGUAUUGUAGGGGAGACUGGAAUUCCUGGGGUAGCGGUGAAAGGCGCAGAUAUCAGGAGGAACACCGGUGGCGAAGGCGGGUCUCUGGGCAGUAACUGACGCUGAGGAGCGAAAGCAUGGGUAGCGAACAGGAUUUGAUACCCUGGUAGUCCAUGCCGUAAACGGUGGGCGCUAGGUGUAGGGGUCUUCCACGACUUCUGUGCCGUAGCUAACGCAUUAAGCGCCCCGCCUGGGGAGUACGGCCGCAAGGCUAAAACUCAAAGGAAUUGACGGGG
rnacentral:rRNA from 1 species